UACGUAGGUGGCGAGCGUUGUCCGGAAUUACUGGGUGUAAAGGGCGUGUAGGCGGGGAAGCAAGUCAGAUGUGAAAUCCCGGGGCUCAACUCUGGAGUUGCAUCUGAAACUGUUUUUCUUGAGUGCUGGAGAGGAAAGCGGAAUUCCUAGUGUAGCGGUGAAAUGCGUAGAUAUUAGGAGGAACACCAGUGGCGAAGGCGGCUUUCUGGACAGUAACUGACGCUGAGGCGCGAAAGCGUGGGGAGCAAACAGGAUUAGAUACCCCGGUAGUCCCU
rnacentral:rRNA from 1 species